rnacentral:rRNA from 1 species
GACGUAGGGGGCCAGCGUUGUUCGGAAUUACUGGGUGUAAAGGGUUCGUAGGCGGUGCGGCAAGUUGGGAGUGAAAUCUCUGGGCUUAACCCAGAGGCUGCUUCCAAAACUGCUGUGCUUGAGUGUGGGAGAGGCGCGUGGAAUUGCAGGUGUAGCGGUGAAAUGCGUAGAUAUCUGGAGGAACACCGGUGGCGAAGGCGGCAUCCUGGACCGGUAUUGACACUGAGGCGCGAAAGCCAGGGGAGCAAACGGG